rnacentral:rRNA from 1 species
GAUGAACGCUGGCGGCGUGCCUAACACAUGCAAGUCGAACGGAGUUACAGUGAAACCUAGUGAUCUGUAACUUAGUGGCGGACGGGUGAGUAACGCGUGGAUAACCUGCCUUGUACAGGGGGAUAACACCUGGAAACAGGUGCUAAGACCGCAUAAGCGCACAGACCCGCAUGGGACAGUGUGAAAAACUCCGGUGGUACAAGAUGGAUCCGCGUCUGAUUAGCCAGUUGGCGGGGUAACGGCCCACCAAAGCGACGAUCAGUAGCCGGCCUGAGAGGGUGGACGGCCACAUUGGGACUGAGACACGGCCCAA